rnacentral:sRNA from 1 species
CAAUGAAAUAUUGCCUGCGGCAAUGUGAAAUAUCCGACCUAUGGUCGGAUGUGAAAUAUUGAACCGCGAGCGGUUCAAUGUGAAAUGUUUU